UACGUAGGGUGCAAGCGUUUGUCCCGGAAUUAUUGGGGCGUAAAGAGCUCGUAGGCGGUUUGUUGCGUCGGCUGUGAAAUCCCGAGGCUCAACCUCGGGUCUGCAGUCGAUACGAGCAAACUAGAGUGUUGCAGGGGGAGACUGGAAUUCCUGGUGUAGCGGUGAAAUGCGCAGAUAUCAGGAGGAACACCGGUGGCGAAGGCGGGUCUCUGGGCAACAACUGACGCUGAGGAGCGAAAGCGUGGGGAGCGAACAGG
rnacentral:rRNA from 1 species